GAUGAACGCUGGCGGCGUGCCUAAUACAUGCAAGUCGAGCGAAUGGAUUAAGAGCUUGCUCUUAUGAAGUUAGCGGCGGACGGGUGAGUAACACGUGGGUAACCUGCCCAUAAGACUGGGAUAACUCCGGGAAACCGGGGCUAAUACCGGAUAACAUUUUGAACCGCAUGGUUCGAAAUUGAAAGGCGGCUUCGGCUGUCACUUAUGGAUGGACCCGCGUCGCAUUAGCUAGUUGGUGAGGUAACGGCUCACCAAGGCAACGAUGCGUAGCCGACCUGAGAGGGGGAUCGGCCACACUGGGACUGAGACACGGCCCAGACUCCUACGGGAGGCAGCGGUAGGGAAUCUUCCGCAAUGGACGAAAGUCUGACGGAGCAACGCCGCGUGAGUGAUGAAGGCUUUCGGGUCGUAAAACUCUGUUGUCAGGGAAGAACAAGUGCUAGUUGAAUAAGCUGGCACCUUGACGGUACCUAACCAGAAAGCCACGGCUAACUACGUGCCAGCCGCCGCGGUAA
rnacentral:rRNA from 1 species